UACAGAGGUCUCAAGCGUUGUUCGGAUUCAUUGGGCGUAAAGGGUGCGUAGGCGGUGAGGUAAGUCGGAUGUGAAAUCCCGGGGCUUAACCCCGGAACUGCAUUCGAUACUGCCUUGCUUGAGCACUGGAGAGGAGACUGGAAUUUACGGUGUAGCAGUGAAAUGCGUAGAUAUCGUAAGGAAGACCAGUGGCGAAGGCGAGUCUCUGGACAGUUGCUGACGCUGAGGCACGAAGGCCAGGGGAGCAAACGGG
rnacentral:rRNA from 1 species